rnacentral:rRNA from 1 species
UACGUAGGGGGCUAGCGUUUUCCGGAAUCAUUGGGCGUAAAGCGCGUGUAGGCGGUCCGGUAAGUCCGCUGUGAAAGUCGGGGGCUCAACCCUCGGAUGCCGGUGGAUACUGUCGGGCUUGAGUACGGAAGAGGCGAGUGGAAUUCCUGGUGUAGCGGUGAAAUGCGCAGAUAUCAGGAGGAACACCAAUUGCGAAGGCAGCUCGCUGGGACGUUACUGACGCUGGGACGCGAAAGCAUGGGGAGCGAACAGG